rnacentral:lncRNA from 1 species
UCAGUCCUUUAAGUGAGGAGUGAUGAUUUCAUCACGACCUGACAUGUCCUUCGUUUCCAGUAAGGAAAACAAACAAAACCUCACAGUUUUGAAAAUAUAGCCCAGACAUGCUGAACGCUCAUAAAAGGGCAGAGAGACCAUGGAUGGAACAGAAAAAAUAGCUUAAAAUGUCAUCAGAAGCUGUUAUGAUCUUUGAGAACACAAGCCUCAGUCUUGAGCAGAAGAUAAGGAGCAGAAUGACCUUGCAUCCUCCAGCCAUAUACCUGAUGUUAACAGUCGAGGAACCCAAGGCCAACCCAAGGACUGUAUCGUGGUGUGCAUAGACCAAUAGGCAUCCAAUUGAUCAAGCUCAGUGAUGCUCUUGGGAAGAGAGACGACACUGCAGAGAUCCCAUUCAUCAGCUUUAGCAGUUGGGAAAGGAUGGGAGAACAGCUCAUCACAGAGCUCUGCAUCCUGCACCAUGCUCACGUCUGCUGGGAUGCUCUCACUUCAGAGAUGGGUUUUGAAGAGUCAGCGGAGAGCAAAUGAGGUGAUGCCACAUCCUUGCCAGAAGUUAACCGGCCCUGACGCUGCUCACCCCAGUGCUGAGAGGCACCACGAGCUUCAAUGGGGAAGGUUUUUUGGUAUCUGGAUGGGAAGCAACUACACCCCCACUCUGAGCUCAUCAAUGCAUCGAGCAAAGCCAAGGCAGAAAUUGUUGUAUUCACUGCAUGAGACCUCGUUGAGUCUGAGGAGCAAAAUAGCUGCCCUAACAUCACACAGUUGUAAGCCAUUACUGGCAGCUGAGUCACUGAAUUAAUUCACCCUUCAGAGACCUCACCCACCUUGAACCUUGCAGCAAAUCCUUCUGCUCCAUCCCAUUGCCUGGAUACACCGCGUGUAGGAAACCAUCCUCCCCAAACCAACCUGUCUCCCCAGGGAUGUUCAGUCCACACAAUCACAGCUUCUUAGACAAGUUUUGCACUGAUCUGCUGAGCUUAGUCCUGGAAACCUCAUGCCCAUGUUCACCAGUCCAAACCAAGCAACAGAAAUGGAGUACAGAUGGAU